GGGUCUGGGAGGCUCAGCUGGAUAGAGCACCGGGCUUUUAACCCGGGGGUCAGGGGUUCAAAUCCCCUCGGGCCCGCCA
rnacentral:tRNA from 1 species